rnacentral:rRNA from 1 species
AACGAACGCUGGCGGCGCGUUUUAAGCAUGCAAGUCGAACGAGUAGCCAAGGUGCUUGCACCUUGGUGAGAGUGGCGAACGGGUGAGUAACACGUAGAUAAUCUGCCCUCGGUUUGGGGAUAGCCCAUGGAAACAUGGAUUAAUACCGAAUAUUCUCUUGGUUCAUAAGAACCGUAGAGUAAAGAUCCUAAGGGAUCGACUGAGGAUGAGUCUGCGGCCCAUUAGCUAGUUGGUGGGGUAAAGGCCUACCAAGGCGACGAUGGGUAGCCGGCCUGAGAGGGUGACCGGCCACACUGGGACUGAGAUACGGCCCAGACUCCUACGGGAGGCAGCAGCUAAGAAUCUUCCGCAAUGGACGCAAGUCUGACGGAGCGACGCCGCGUGUACAAGCAGGUUGUAAAGUACUUUUCUGUGGAGGAAAUGAGUGUAGGGAAUGACACUCAGAUG